CUGGUUGGAGAUUCACUGGACGGCAAUGGGCUUUGUUCUGAACAGCAUGUCGCCGUCCAGUCAGAGUCUUCAGCCAGC